rnacentral:rRNA from 1 species
UACGUAGGGGGUCUAGCGUUGUCCGGAAUUAUUGGGCGUAAAGAGCUCGUAGGCGGUUCGGCAAGUCGGAUGAUGAAAUCUCCAACGCUUAACGUGGAGGGGCCAUUCGAAACUGCCGUGACUCGAGUCCGGUAGGGGAGUUCGGAAUUCCCGGUGUAGCGGUGAAAUGACGGUAGAUAUCUGGAGGAACACCGGUGGCGAAGGGCGGCAUCCUGGACCAGUAUGACGCUGAGAGGCGAAAAGCCAGGGGAGCAAACGGGG